rnacentral:rRNA from 1 species
GGGUUGUCAUGCCAAUGGCACUGCCCGGUAGCUAAAUGCGGAAGAGAUAAGUGCUGAAAGCAUCUAAGCACGAAUUGGGACAAAUCUACGGUGCC